rnacentral:rRNA from 1 species
UACGGGGGGAGCAAGCGUUGUUCGGAUUUACUGGGCGUAAAGGGCGCGUAGGCGGCCUCUGCAAGUCGACUGUGAAAUCUCCGGGCUUAACCCGGAAAGGUCAGCCGAUACUGCAGGGCUAGAGUGCAGAAGGGGCAACUGGAAUUCUCGGUGUAGCGGUGAAAUGCGUAGAUAUCGAGAGGAACACCUGCGGCGAAGGCGGGUUGCUGGGCUGACACUGACGCUGACAGCGCGAAAGCCAGGGGAGCAAACGGG